AACGAACGCUGGCGGCACGCCUAACACAUGCAAGUCGAGCGCUCACUUCGGUGGGAGCGGCGGACGGGUUAGUAACGCGUGGGAACAUACCCUUUACUACGGAAUAGCCUUUGGAAACGAAGAGUAAUACCGUAUACGCCCUACGGGGGAAAGAUUUAUCGGUAAAGGAUUGGCCCGCGUUAGAUUAGAUAGUUGGUGGGGUAACGGCCUACCAAGUCUACGAUCUAUAGCUGGUUUGAGAGGAUGAUCAGCAACACUGGGACUGAGACACGGCCCAG
rnacentral:rRNA from 1 species